GGGGCUCCUUCCUGGUCACAGGAGCUCAAGAGAGAACCAGAAGAUGGGUUCUGGUGGUAAUGGCAUUCAGCAAGCAGGAAGAGGAUGUGAGAACUUCAGCCCUGAGAAAAAAGAGUGAAGAGAAAUGAGCUACAGUGGAAAAGGCCCAGGGAGGAGCAGCAGCAGCAGCAGCAGCAAAAUUGGUUCCCUUCAUAUUUGGCCCUUCAGAGUGGGUCUGGCCAGAAGAGAUGCUCUAGGGAAACAUUAUUAGGGUUGUCAAUUAUUGGCAAUUAACUCAGGUGAAGCAUGUUGUAUAUUGGCUAUUUCCCACCAUCUCAGAAGUAGCUGCAAUUCACUGACACUUUCAGCCACAUAGACGAUGUUGUACGGCACAGAGGGGAGCAAAGUGCAUAAGCUUCCUCUGCCCUACCCCAAAAACCAAAUGAGGUGUUGCAGCUCUCUGGAAUGCUCCCCUUUGCCCUGAACCUUCAGAUGACUCAUCCCUAUGCCAACAAGAUGGGAUAUUUGCCAUGUUGGGGCAUGAGCAAGAAGCAACCAGUCUGUGGCAUGCUCCCCUAAAAACCUGGCAGACUCCCCAUGGAAAUCCAGUCAAGAAUAAUUGUGCUAGCAGCAUUAUCUCCCCUUCAUUAACUUCUGCCAUCUCCAAGAGGAACAUGAAAGAUAAUGGAGGCUAGUGCCAGCAGAACAGCUACUGAGUGAGCUAUGCUGAGGGGGCAUGGUUAAGACAAAGUGCAAAGGGGUUGGUUCUCUGCACAUCUGUGUGGAUCAGGAGCAUGGACAAGGAGAAGGAAGGAAGUGUGUCAGAGGAGGGUGGGAGUUCAGAUCCAGCUGAGUUGGAAGUGGAUUUUCCCCAUAUAUCUCUAGCUUUAUGGAGUCCAACACUGUCCCUACUGAACCCCUUUGUGGUAAUUGAAUGCCAGAAGAUGAACCUAGGAGAGAUUUCUCAAGCACCUCUCUCUCCCUCUUGUAGGAUUUUCCCAGGGAAGUGAAUGUUAACCCAUAAGUUGCCUUGAGAUCCUCCAGAAUUAAAGGUGCUGUGUAAUGUCCUGUCCAGACAUUGGUUUCAGAAACCUCCUUUGUAUGAUUGU